rnacentral:rRNA from 1 species
CCUACGGGAGGCAGCAGUGGGGAAUAUUGGGCAAUGGGCGCAAGCCUGACCCAGCAACGCCGCGUGAAGGAAGAAGGCUUUCGGGUUGUAAACUUCUUUUCUCAGGGACGAAGCAAGUGACGGUACCUGAGGACUAAGCCACGGCUAACUACGUGCCAGCAGCCGCGGUAAUACGUAGGUGACAAGCGUUAUCCGGAUUUACUGGGUGUAAAGGGCGUGUAGGCGGGAAAGCAAGUCAGAUGUGAAAACCAUGGGCUCAACCUGUGGCCUGCAUUUGAAACUGUUUUUCUUGAGUACUGGAGAGGCAGACGGAAUUCCUAGUGUAGCGGUGAAAUGCGUAGAUAUUAGGAGGAACACCAGUGGCGAAGGCGGUCUGCUGGACAGCAACUGACGCUGAGGCGCGAAAGCGUGGGGAGCAAACAGGAUUAGAUACCCCAGUAGUC